rnacentral:lncRNA from 1 species
GCUAGAUUGCCAAUUGUACACAGAUCCCAAUCAAUGAUAAGUUGGUAGUAUAUAACAUGUACAAAUUAAUUAACAAACAAAAAAGCAAGUAACCACAUGGAUAGAAAAUUUCUAACAUAAUAAGACCUAAUAUUCAGAAAAUUUAGUUGUAUUUAGCAAUUAAUUGCUUCAAAAUAUGACAAUAUUUGCACUGUAGCAAUAUUAGCUGCUUGACAACUUCAUAUAAAAAUGGCAUUCCUAUGCAAGUUGUUCAGCUGAAAGCUGCCAGGGUUUAGUUUCCAAUUUUUAGAGGUCUUGACAGAUUUAUGAGACAAAACUGGUUAUGGACGUGGAUAAAGUUCUCUGAACAACAGAAAUUAUGUUUCAGAUGGUUCAUCCUUCUGUUGAACAAUGAAUAUUUGUCCAAAGUUCCUUGCAAUUUUGUGAGCAAUGAUAACUGUCUUUAUUGCAUUCUCCAAUUGCUCAAAUACUUAAUUUUCCAUGAGCUACCAUGUACAUGUAGCAAACCCCCACUUACAUAACCCUAAUCCAACCUAAUUAAGAUGAGAAUGAAUUACACAAUAUUUGUCCCUAAUUACUGGUCAUAUUUUGCCUAUGGAGUCCCUUGCCUCCUUGAAGGAAUCUUACACAGUUAAUAUUAUUCUUCAUGUAUUACAUUAGUUCCUUUUGCUUCAACCUCAUCUCAAUAGCAAGUUUUAGGUACUCUUUAUAAUAUUUUGUCAAAAUUUUCGUUUGUUUACAGCAUGAUUCUUGUAUGAAGAAGGUAUAAGAGCUAAAUGACUACAAUAAGCAUGCUAUCCAUGCUUGAAAUAUAAUGGGCAAUAUGCAUUUUCAAUAUUUCAAAAGGUCACAGAUAAUUUUCCUCCUUACACCACAAAUGGUGAAAAUCAUCGUCCCCAGACAAAACUUCUUGGUUAACUUGGAUAAGAUCCUGCAUGCCCUCAGAUUUUUCUCUCUUAUGAAUUGAUUCACGAGGUCCAAAUUAACCUGUCAGUCCUCAUCUAUACACCAACCUUUCUGGUCUGUACUCAGCCUGCUCUCUUAAUCAUGGGUAUUGAGGCAUUAUAUUGAUUCAACAUCAUUCCCAGCCAAAAAUGCCUAAACAAGAUGAACAAGCAUAAAUUACAAUAACAAAAAUAGUGAACUAUGGAACCUCAACGGAUAUAUCAGUGAAACUUUUAUUAUGGCUGAAAUUACAUGAAUGUCAAACACAAGAAAUAAGAUCCUUACCUCCUGCCAAACUUGAAUCAAAAGCACAAAUAGAACUACUAACAAAGUACCUUA